rnacentral:misc_RNA from 1 species
UGGUUCUGGCAUNGAUGAAGAACGCAGCGAAAUGCGAUAAGUAAUGUGAAUUGCAGAAUUCAGUGAAUCAUCGAAUCUUUGAACGCACAUUGCGCCCCGUGGUAUUCCGCGGGGCAUGCCUGUUCGAGCGUCAUUAUAACCAAUCCAGCGUGCUGGGUCUUGGGCACCGCCACCUGGCGGGCCUUAAAAUCAGUGGCGGUACGGCCGGGCUCUGAGCGUAGUAAAUCUUCUCGCUACAGAGACCUGGGCGGCACUGGCCAGCAACCCCCAAUCUUUACAGGUUGACCUCGGAUCAGGUAGGGAUACCCGCUGA